rnacentral:rRNA from 1 species
UACGUAGGGGGCUAGCGUUGUCCGGAUUUAUUGGGCGUAAAGAGCGUGUAGGCGGCCUGACAGGUCUGCUGUGAAAACUCGAGGCUCAACCUCGAGAUGUCGGCGGAAACCGUCUGGCUAGAGUCCGGAAGAGGAGACUGGAAUUCCUGGUGUAGCGGUGGAAUGCGCAGAUAUCAGGAGGAACACCGGUGGCGAAGGCGGGUCUCUGGGCAGUAACUGACGCUGAGGAGCGAAAGCGUGGGGAGCGAACAGGA